GCAUGUUUCGAUUUGAGAGGCGACCCGGUGGUCCCGUCUCAGUGUACCGCAUGCCAGAGCAGCCACGACUCCCAACCAUUGGCCGGUCCCCAACCGUGGACCGGAUCACUGAAGCGAGUCGCACACGU
rnacentral:snoRNA from 1 species